rnacentral:sRNA from 1 species
CUUUCCAUGAACAAAGAUCGCUUUCCGAGCGGUUAUAUAAAGCCCAAGGUAUAAACACGAAAGAUUUACUUGGACAUAAAACUCAACAACAAACGGAUAGGUACCAUGAUGAUCGUGGGAAGGGGUGGACAACGGUGGCCUUAUGAGGUUUUUCGGGAGGGGUUUUGAUAACUUGUUUUGAUAAAAUUUUGAUAACCGUUCGAAAACUAAUAAUAAAAACGGGAACCACCAGGUUCCCGUUCUGACAUAAU